rnacentral:pre_miRNA from 1 species
AUAAUACUCCCUCUGUCCGGAAUUACUUGUCAUCAAAAUGGAUGUGUCUAGAACUAAAAUACAUCUAGAUACAUCGAUUUCAAUGACAAGUAUUUUCGGACGGAGGGAGUAGUAG